CGCGCCCGAUCUCGUCUGAUCUCGGAAGCUAAGCAGGGUUGGGCCUGGUUAGUACUUGGAUGGGAGAGUGUGCAGGAAUCUUAAGCCUUGACUGAU
rnacentral:rRNA from 1 species